UAUCUGGUUGAUUCUGCCAGUAGUCAUAUGCUUGUCUCAAAGAUUAAGCCAUGCAUGUCUAAGUAUAAGCAACUUUAUACUGUGAAACUGCGAAUGGCUCAUUAAAUCAGUUAUCGUUUAUUUGAUGUUACUUUACUACUUGGAUAACCGUGGUAAUUCUAGAGCUAAUACAUGCUAAAAACCUCAACUUCGGAAGGGGUGUAUUUAUUAGAUAAAAA
rnacentral:ncRNA from 1 species